rnacentral:rRNA from 1 species
UACGGAGGGUGCAAGCGUUAAUCGGAAUUACUGGGCGUAAAGCGCACGUAGGUGGUUUGCUAAGUCAGCUGUGAAAUCCCCGGGCUCAACCUGGGCACUGCAGUUGAAACUGGCAAGCUAGAGUAGGGUAGAGGGGUGUGGAAUUCCAGGUGUAGCGGUGAAAUGCGUAGAUAUCGGGAGGAACACCAGUGGCGAAGGCGGCUUUCUGGCCUGUUCUUGACGCUGAGGCGCGAAAGCUAGGGUAGCAAACGGG